GUCGCCGGUGAGUCACCGGUGUCGGUCACCGGCGGCGACGGCGGAGCUGCGGCGGCUUACCGGGGAGUUGGCCGGCGGCGACGGCGGAGCUGCGGCGGCGGACGGUGGUCCGGCGGCGGAGCUGCGGUGGCGACGAUUUCCGGCGGCGGCGCGUGCGUUUCACGCGCGCGCGAAGGGCGGUUUUCUGGAGGCGCGUACGGCUUCGUCCGGGCUCCGAUCGUGACGCGGUUGGUGUCUACGGCUUCGUCUCGACGAGAGGAACAUGAUGAUGGGCUUGGAUGCACGAGAUUCGCAACGGUUAAGAAGUUAUGGUCGAUUUACUAAAACGGCCGAAACUAAACUCAAAAAUAUGGCGGUUUCCGGUUACCUUUGGUUGCGGAUGAUGGUGGUGGCGAGCUCAACGUGAUCACGGCACACGGUUGCUCCGGCGACGAGCUCAGGUGAGCUUUCUCUCUCUUUCUCUCUCUCUUUCUCUCUCUCUCUUUCUCUCUCUCUCUCUCUCUCUUUAAAGAAGUUGGAGAUGGUGGAGAUAAUGGAGAUGGUGGAGAUGGUGGAGAUGGUGGGGAUAGUGGAGAUGGUGGGUCAUUACAGUAUUAUGGCCAGCUUUUGGUGGAGUAAUGUGGAGUAUAAAAGAAGAAUUCAUUGGAUGAGCUGGGAGAAACUGUGCAUGUCGAAAGAGGAUGGUGGGAUGGGUUUUCGUGAUCUGGAAUGUUUCAAUGAAGCUUUACUGGCUAGACAAACUUGGAGAAUCAUUCAAUAUGAAGAUAGUCUCUUUUCGAAGGUUCUAAAAGGAAAGUACUUUGAGAAUGAUUCGUUGGUUUAUGCACAGUUGGGAAGCAAACCCUCCUACGCUUGGAGAAGUAUCAUGUAUGGCAGGGACUUGCUGAAAAAAGGAUUGAAGCAUCUGGUGGGAAAUGGAAGAAGCAUCAAAGUAUGGUCUGAAGCCUGGCUAGAAGACGAAGAUGGUACUUGGGGGCCCCUUUGAGGAAACAAAGAUGUUUUGAUGCUAACCUUCAAGUAUCGGACUUGAUUGAUUAUCACAGAAGAAGGUGAGAUCGACAGAAAUUAGAGGAGCUUUUUGUCCCUGCUGAUGUCAACAGGCUCUUAAUGAAGCAACCAGUAGUUUCGGAUAAUGACUCUUGGAUUUGGAGAUUCAAUAAAAGUGGCUCCUACUCGGUGAGAUCAGGUUAUGAGUUGGCUUUUUCCAUUCAUCAUAGUGAACUCAUCAGAAUUCAAACGAUGGCCCAUCCCUUAAUCAGCUAAAAGAAAAGGUAUGGAGUUUAAAGGCGCCAUCAAAAAUCAAGGUUUUUAUCUGGAAGGCCCUCUCUGGUUCUUUGUCGGUUUUUGAUAACCACAAAAGUCGUGGAAUGAAAUGUGACUUAGUGUGCCAAACCUGCGGGAAUGAUGGGGAGUCGAUCAAUCAUGUUUUAUUCUCAUGCCCAUUAGCAAGACAGGUAUGGGCACUAUCAGGCUUUCCAACACCGAGAGGAGGAUUUAGUGAAGAGUCUGUGUAUCAGAAUGUGGGUUAUCUCAUCUAUUAUUUGGAACACAACAGAGAACAGAAAGAGAUAACAAAAAGGUUCCCUUGGACGCUUUGGUAUCUAUGGAAAAAUAGAAAUUUGCUGCUGUUUGAUGGAUUUCUCUUCGAUUGAGAUCAAAUGUGUAAAAAGGUUUGUGAAGAAACCAAUCUUUGGUUUCUAGCGCAAAGUUUGGAGUUGGGGAAUGUCAAUGGGACCUGUACACAGAUAGAACGACAUGAAGACUUUUGGAACCCUGGGGAUGGAGAGGAGCUAAAAUGUAAUAUUGGUAUGAGAUGGGUAAAGGAAGCAAGAAUUGCAGGGGCUGCAUGGGUUCUCAGAAAUGGAAGUGGUGAAGUCCUGCUCCAUAGUCGACGUUCUUUUGGAGCAGUGGGAUCAAAGGAUGUGGCAUACUUCUUGUCCUUAGCUUGGGCUAUCGAAAGUAUGAUCUCACACAAAUGUCUGAAGAUUUACUUCGUCUUUGAAGGAGGAAACUUGGUAAACGCUAUCAACAGGCCAAAUGCUUGGCCCUCUUUCAAGUUUGAAGUAAAGGAGAUCAGACGAUUACUUGAUGAUUUUUUGACAUGGCGGUUAGAUUAUGUGUCCUUUGAAGCCAAUCGAGGACCCCGUCUUAUCGCUGAUAGUGCCGUAACUAGUAAUAGAUAUCAGUCUUAUGUUGCAAGGGGAUGUCCUAGAUGGUGGUUUCACGUUUUUGGUUGCAGACUAGAUCCUUUCAGAUAGGUUGGUCUGUUUAUGUUGUUUUGGGUUGACUUUGUACAUGUUCUUCUGGUUAAUGGAAAGUUUCAGACGGCAACAAAAAAAAACUAUCAAAAAACUAUCAUAUCGAUCGUACAGAAAAGAUCCCUACUCCAAAAACAUAAAUGGAAAAAAAGAAAAAUUUUGUAUUUGAUUAAGAGAAAUUACUUAAAAUAACUUUAAUUAAUCAUAAAAUGACUAGAUUAACUCAUAUAAUUUUGAAAUUACUAAACUAACUCUUGAAAUAUACAAACUUACGGUUUUGCUAUCAGUAAAAUAAAGCCUAAUUAGAAAAAGAAAUACAUUUUAAUAUUAUGAAAGGAAAAAAAAAAAAAAAAACUUUGUCGGGUUUCUUCACCAAACGCUCUCUUCGUCGUCUCCGUCACCUCCAUCUCCGACGGUCCCUUUUUCCUCACAACCGCCUUUGUCUCCGUCACCUCUACUGUAAUUCGACUUUGUCUCCGGCAUCCUCCACGAUAAUUCACCUUCGUCUCUUUCCUACUCGACAAACUCGAAAUCGAUUUCACCACAGUCACAUCCGGCUUCAAUUGCAAGUUACUCUAAUCUGUUUAAUUUAGCAAAGAGAGCAACAACCUCUGCAAACUCAACUCUUACAAGCACUGUGGAAGACGGUGACCACCAUUCAGGUAGCUGACAAGGAGAAAGGUGUGGUACUUGAAACCACCAAGACAAAGAAACAAAGCAAGCUUAAGCUCUAUGUUAACAAGUCUGUCCUCAAGGAGUUCCCUAUGAUGGCCAAAGCUGUUGCCAACCAGGUAUUAAACCUGAUUUGAAGAAGACAACACUUGCUAGGCUCAGCGUGAUCAGAAAAGGCCUUAGAGUCGCCAAGUCUGGUCCCAAGGAGAGGAAGCAGGCUUAAAGAUUUGACCGUUUACUGAACAUUUUACUUCUGAAAAACCUUUGUUUUGUGAUUUCAAACAAAUUUUUGUAGGUUAUAAAGAUCUUUCAUGGACAGUUCAGUUUCUUGCUUAAAACACCUCCAUUGUUUUGUGAUUUCAAACAAAUUUUUGUAGGUUAUAAAAAUCUUUCAUGGACAGUUCAGUUUCUUGCUUAAAA